UAAAAAAAAGAAACACAAAAAAAAGAAACACAAAAAAAAAAAAAAAAACAUUGCUAAACCAGUUAGAUAGGAAAUGUGAUACUACUAUGAUCAUGACACAACUGGAUGUACAGGGAAAAAGAAAUAAAAAAAAAAAUAAUAUAUGUAUUGAAAAAAGUAAUCAUGUUCUUGUUAAGGAGAAUACACAAAAAAACAUAAAAAACAGUAAUAAUCCUUUUGAAAAUAAACCAAAUAAAAAUGGCAUUCAUUCUGAAACUAGCGAUGGUAUAGGUGAGAGCAUUGACAUUCACGAAUUUAAUAUCGUGCAUAUACAAAAAAUAAAUGAAGAAAAUAAUGACUUCUUUAAAUCUAUGGACGAUCGUAGUUUGGGCAUUAGUGACAAAAGUUGUGUCAGCAGUAUAAAUGGUGACACAAGUAGUAGCCACCGCAGCAGCCACUGCAGCAGCCACUGCAGUAGUAGUAUAAGUGGUAGAAGUGGUAGAAGUAGCAGUGUAAGUGGCAGUAUAAGUGGUAGAAGUAGCAGUAUAAGUGGCAGUAUUAGUGGCAGUAUAAGUGGCAGUAUAAGUGGCAGUAUAAGUGACAAUGCAAGUAAUACCUGUGACAGUAAAUGCAGCAAAAACGGAAAUACUUGUUUUGAUAAACUCGAUCGACUCCAGUUCAAACAGACAAACAAAAAAAUAUUAAAAAUCUUAACAUGUUUUAUCAAUAUAAUAUACAUAAAUACUUUUCAAAAAAUUCUGAACAAAAUACAAACUUGUAAAAGUAUAAGAAAAUUAAAAUUAUAUUUGUAUAUAAAAAAUAUAUUUGAAAGUAAUAUAUUCCAUUGCUUAAGAACUAGAUUAAAAAAAAAAUGUUUCGAUAUGUUUUGUUCGUUUACAUUAAAAAAUUUAAUUCAAAAUUAUUUAUAUAAAAUAAAAAAAGAAAAAAUAAGCAGUAUUGUUUCCGCUGUUGUUUUACCCGAUACAAACAAAAGCUACACUAAUCGUAAUGGUAUUAUUAGUAAUAAUACUAAUAGUACUAGUACUAGUACUAGUGGCAGUAUUAGCACAGAGUUAGAACUCUUCCAGUCAGUACUAAUAUAUGAUACGUGCAGUUUUAUUGAAAUAUAUAAUAAGUUAAAAAAAAUAAAAUUUAAAGACGUGUAUAAACACAAACAUAUUAAUUAUCUAGUGGAUAUAAAAAACAUACUUACGUUACCACAAGAAAAAUUAUUAAAAUAUCCAAUUAAAAAUAAAUAUUUUUUUUUUUACAUCAAAAGUAAAAGGGUAGAUAUAGAUUUUCUUAAAUUUAUUAAACAAUAUGAAUGGAAUGUUCGAAACUCGCGUAGGUAUAAUACAAACGAAAAUGUAUCAGAAAAUAUAGACAAAAGGAAAAAUAAACAAAGACAGUAUGACCUUUUUGUCGAUCAAGUUAUAAAACACAGUUAUGACAUACUUGUUUUCAAAAAUUACAAAGGUUUAUACAAACAAGAUCCGCAACCAAUUAAUAAUAUCAAUAUUGCCCAAACGGAUGUUACUGCAGCUAUUGAUGUUACCACAUCUAUUGAUGUUACUGCUUCUACGAAUGUUACUGCCCCUACAAAUGUUACUACCCCUACGAAUGCUACUACCACCGCUACUACAAAAAAAGCAAACUACCUACAACAAACGUUUUAUAACUUAUUACAUUCAUUUAAUACAAAUGUUAUUAAUUUAUUUAUUGAAAAAAACGAAAAAAAAGAAUAUAAUGCUAUUAGAUUAAUUUACAGUAAUAAAAGUGCUCAUGGUAAGGAGAUAGAUAACAUAGUUAGUUCGAAAAAGUUUGUUGACCCUGUAAUAGAACGUACAAACAAAAAUUGGGGACGUGUCGAUGUGAUAUGUGAUGAUAAAAUUAGCUUAUCAUCCAGUAUAGUUAGCUCAAAUGUGUGCGAAAAAAAUAAUUUAUCCAAAUGUGAACAAAAUAGUUACCUUCUAAACAAUAAAAAUAAAAAAAAAAAAAAAAUAAAAAAAAUAAAAAAAAAAAAACGCAACGAAUAUCAAAAUAUAUAUGAAGUAAGUAGUAUAUCAAGUAGUAACGAAACACAACAAAAUAAAUAUGAACAAGGAAAUGUUAAACUAUUCGAAUUAAGUGAUGACGAAAACCAGUGCUGUAUAAAAGUAUAUAUAAACAGUAGUAGUAGUAGUAGUAGUAAUACCAAUAAUAAUAAUAAUAACAAUUACAAUAAUAACAAUUACAAUAAUAACAAUUAUGAUAAUAACAAUUAUGAUAAUAAAAAUUAUAAUAACAAUUAUAAUAA
ensembl:lncRNA